rnacentral:lncRNA from 1 species
GCUGAAGGUUGCAAAAACUUUUUCACCUACAGAAGGAGGAGGCAGAAAGGAAGUGGAGUGACACAUCUGCUCCACUGCCCUUCACUCAGGGCCCCACUCUGCACCACUGGAGAAUGAGGAAAGACCGUGCUGAAGAUACCAUUUUCUCAAGUUUGUGUUCUUUGUUUUGGUGCACACCAAAACCUUGAGAUGUACUCCAAAUCACCACUAAUGAAACAUCCAUACAAAGGUCUGCAAUGGUGUCCCCAGAAAGGAGAAAAAAAUGCCUCUAACUGAUGUGGGUACAUUUCUGAAAUUUUGGUGAGCUGAAGGAAGAAGAUGAGUCAAUCCCAGUCUGUGAAUGUGAACACACGAGGGGAGCCUGAUAUUCCGAUGAAAUAAGAAUGACUAUGAAAACCCACAACCCCAUUUAUCUGGAAACAAUUCAAGCCCGUUCCAGUCUAUUACAAUCUAUUGGGAGACAAGUGUUGGCAAGUUUCUUCC